CAGGGUAUAGACCCGAAACCCGGUGAUCUAGCCAUGGGCAGGUUGAAGGUUGGGUAACACUAACUGGAGGACCGAACCGACUAAUGUUGAAAAAUUAGCGGAUGACUUGUGGCUGGGGGUGAAAGGCCAAUCAAACCGGGAGAUAGCUGGUUCUCCCCGAAAGCUAUUUAGGUAGCGCCUCGUGAAUUCAUCUUCGGGGGUAGAGCACUGUUUCGGCUAGGGGGUCAUCCCGACUUACCAACCCGAUGCAAACUACGAAUACCGAAGAAUGUUAUCACGGGAGACACACGGCGGGUGCUAACGUCCGUCGUGAAGAGGGAAACAACCCAGACCGCCAGCUAAGGUCCCAAAGUCAUGGUUAAGUGGGAAACGAUGUGGGAAGGCACAGACAGCCAGGAUGUUGGCUUAGAAGCAGCCAUCAUUUAAAGAAAGCGUAAUAGCUCACUGGUCGAGUCGGCCUGCGCGGAAGAUGUAACGGGGCUAAACCAUGCACCGAAGCUGCGGCAGCGACACUAUGUGUUGUUGGGUAGGGGAGCGUUCUGUAAGCCUGCGAAGGUGACCUGUGAGGGUUGCUGGAGGUAUCAGAAGUGCGAAUGCUGACAUAAGUAACGAUAAAGCGGGUGAAAAGCCCGCUCGCCGGAAGACCAAGGGUUCCUGUCCAACGUUAAUCGGGGCAGGGUGAGUCGACCCCUAAGGCGAGGCCGAAAGGCGUAGUCGAUGGGAAACAGGUUAAUAUUCCUGUACUUGGUGUUACUGCGAAGGGGGGACGGAGAAGGCUAUGUUAGCCGGGCGACGGUUGUCCCGGUUUAAGCAUGUAGGCUGGUUAUCCAGGCAAAUCCGGAUAAUCAAGGCUGAGGUGUGAUGACGAGGCACUACGGUGCUGAAGUAACAAAUGCCCUGCUUCCAGGAAAAGCCUCUAAGCAUCAGGUAACAUUAAAUCGUACCCCAAACCGACACAGGUAGUCAGGUAGAGAAUACCAAGGCGCUUGAGAGAACUCGGGUGAAGGAACUAGGCAAAAUGGUGCCGUAACUUCGGGAGAAGGCACGCUGGUGUGUAGGUGAAGUCCCUGCGGAUGGAGCUGAGACCAGUCGAAGAUACCAGCUGGCUGCAACUGUUUAUUAAAAACACAGCACUGUGCAAACACGAAAGUGGACGUAUACGGUGUGACGCCUGCCCGGUGCCGGAAGGUUAAUUGAUGGGGUUAUCCGUAAGGAGAAGCUCUUGAUCGAAGCCCCGGUAAACGGCGGCCGUAACUAUAACGGUCCUAAGGUAGCGAAAUUCCUUGUCGGGUAAGUUCCGACCUGCACGAAUGGCGUAAUGAUGGCCAGGCUGUCUCCACCCGAGACUCAGUGAAAUUGAACUCGCUGUGAAGAUGCAGUGUACCCGCGGCAAGACGGAAAGACCCCGUGAACCUUUACUAUAGCUUGACACUGAACAUUGAGCCUUGAUGUGUAGGAUAGGUGGGAGGCUUUGAAGCGUGGACGCCAGUCUGCGUGGAGCCGACCUUGAAAUACCACCCUUUAAUGUUUGAUGUUCUAACGUUGGCCCCUUACCGGGGUUGCGGACAGUGUCUGGUGGGUAGUUUGACUGGGGCGGUCUCCUCCCAAAGCGUAACGGAGGAGCACGAAGGUUAGCUAAUCCUGGUCGGACAUCAGGAGGUUAGUGCAAUGGCAUAAGCUAGCUUGACUGCGAGCGUGACGGCGCGAGCAGGUGCGAAAGCAGGUCAUAGUGAUCCGGUGGUUCUGAAUGGAAGGGCCAUCGCUCAACGGAUAAAAGGUACUCCGGGGAUAACAGGCUGAUACCGCCCAAGAGUUCAUAUCGACGGCGGUGUUUGGCACCUCGAUGUCGGCUCAUCACAUCCUGGGGCUGAAGUAGGUCCCAAGGGUAUGGCUGUUCGCCAUUUAAAGUGGUACGCGAGCUGGGUUUAGAACGUCGUGAGACAGUUCGGUCCCUAUCUGCCGUGGGCGCUGGAGAAUUGAGGGGGGCUGCUCCUAGUACGAGAGGACCGGAGUGGACGCAUCACUGGUGUUCGGGUUGUCAUGCCAAUGGCACUGCCCGGUAGCUAAAUGCGGAAGAGAUAAGUGCUGAAAGCAUCUAAGCACGAAACUUGCCCCGAGAUGAGUUCUCCCUGAGACUUUAAGUCUCCUGAAGGAACGUUGAAGACGACGACGUUGAUAGGCCGGGUGUGUAAGCGCAGCGAUGCGUUGAGCUAACCGGUACUAAUGAACCGUGAGGCUUAACCUU
rnacentral:rRNA from 1 species